GCGCUGCACGCCCCGGGUUCGCGAUGGCGGACGUGUCCGAGAGGACACUGCAGUUGUCUGUACUGGUGGCAUUCGCCUCCGGAGUGCUCGUGGGCUGGCAGGCAAACCGGCUGCGGCGGCGCUACCUGGACUGGAGGAAGAAGAGGCUGCAAGAUAAGCUAGCGGCGACGCAGAAGAAGCUGGAUCUGGCCUGAGAUCCCCGCCCUGUUGGUCCCCGCCGACUCCCGCGCGACCACCUCGAGGGCAUCUACCCUGUCCCGUGCGGGGCCUCGGCCAUAGCUAGGCCCGUCUCACGCCCUGCGCCCGCAGUGCCAGGCUUGUCUUGGAGUUGCUCAUUGAAGAUGGAUAUGGAGAACUGGAGAGAAAUAAUUCUCCUUGCACUUUAUGAAUCAAUUUUAUUUUUAAAAUAAAAAAUGUAAACGUA
rnacentral:lncRNA from 1 species